AUGUUUGAUCUUGAGAUUGCAACAUCGAGAGACAUGAAGGCUGUCGAAGAGAUUGCCAAGUUGGCAGGAAAAUGCUUGAGGAUGGAACACGACAAACGCCCUCAGAUGUUAGAAGUUGCAGAACGUCUUCGCAAACUUAGGAAGGCUCCAGAUCAGGUACAAGAAAGAUUACCACUGUUUUCUUGGGUAAGGAAAAAUAAGCAAGCUCCAGCCAAACCACCAACGCUGGAAAGCAGUAGCGGUGGCCGAAACAUGACAACUGUACCUCCAGCUGAAACAACGCCUUCACAAGAAACCUAUGGCAGUAACCCAAAAACGGGAAUUUGGGACCCAACUAAAAUGGCUGCCGAAACAAGCAGUAGCAGUACCCUAAACGUGGGAGUUGUAGCUCCAGCUGAAACGACACCAUCACAAGAAAGCAAUGGCAGUGCACCCCAAACGGGAACCGUUGCUCCAUCCAAAGCGGAACUAUCACAGGAAAGCAGUAGCAGUACCCGAUACAUGGGAACUUUUAUCGGUAGGCCGACAGCGACAAACCAGUAUUUCGAGCUGGAAGACCUGCUUCGGGGAUCAGCUGAAGUUAUGGGCAUGGGUACAGUCGGGACAACAUACAGCACGUCACUUGAGAGUGGAUAUGAGCUGGUGACCAAGAGGUUGAAGGAUGUGGACUUGCCGAAGGCGGACUUUGAGCAGCAAGUCAAGCUGAUUAGCGCCAUCCAGAACAAACACAUUGCUCCACUGCGGUGGUAUUACUAUAGCGAGGAUGAGAAGUUGCUAGUGUACAAUAGGGUCCGCAUGGGUAGCCUUGCAAAAAUGCUCCACGGUUACCGAAUCCCUGGCACAGCUCCCCUGGACUGGGGGCAGCGGUCAGCCAUCUCACUAGCUGCUGCCCGUGGUGUGGCGGCUAUCCACUUGGCUGGACCAUCGAGCUGCCAUGGCAACAUCAAGUCUUCCAACAUCCUGCUCACCGGCACCCACGAUGCAUGUGUGUCGGAGCACGGCCUGAUGCCACUUGGCGUGUAUUCCAAUGCCUCCGGCUACCGUGCGCCUGAGGUCACCGACAAUAGGUCGGUCUCCCAGAAAGCUGACGUGUACAGCUUCGGAAUCCUAAUGCUGGAGGUUCUCACUCGCAAGGAUCCAGCAAAGAGCACACAAAAUGAGGAGGGAUUAGAUUUGGCACAAUGGGCAUGGUCUGUUGUACGCAAGGAGUGGACGAUGGAGGUCUUCGACAUGGAGCUCCAGCCCUUAGGACAGGAGCAGAAGGCCGGGGAAGAGGAGAGCAUGGUGCAACUUCUGCAGCUCGCCAUAAACUGUUGUAGUCAAUUUGCUGACUCGAGGCCUACGAUGUCCGAUGUUGUGCAGAAGAUUGAGGCAAUCCACAAAGUCCUGACUCCUGACCAAGAAACUUGCACAUCAUAG
rnacentral:rRNA from 1 species